GCCUCGGUGGUGUAGUGGUGGAACACGCGUUCGUACAUAUGGCGAAACGCGGGUUUGAUUCCGCCUGAGGCC